CACACAUACACGGACUGCCCUGCACUAGCCACCGGCAUCAGCUCCCAAACUCGCCGCGGCAAGACACACACAAAAGUCCGCGGAUCACGUGUGCGCGGACGUCUUGCGCUAAAGGUUGCGCGCUUGGAGCGACUCUGGAUCCUUUACUAUUUCGCGCCUACAAGGUAAGCAGCAGCCGUCAUCGAAGCCUCGCCUCGACCGUCGAUUGCCGCCUCCCUCUUCCUCGUCACAGCCAUGCCCUUAUCCUCCUCCCCGGCGCCGAAGAGGUUCAGCGCCGAGGUGCGCGACGAUAACCCCUACAGCCGCCUGAUGGCGCUGCAGCGGAUGGGGGUCGUGGACGAUUACGAGAGCAUUCGUGACAAGGCGGUUGCCAUCAUCGGCGCCGGCGGCGUCGGCUCCGUCGUGGCGGAGAUGUUGACGCGCUGCGGCAUUGGCAAGCUCCUUCUCUUCGACUACGAUACGGUGGAGAUGGCGAACAUGAACCGUCUCUUCUACCGCCCCGAACAGCAGGGGAUGAAGAAAGUCGAAGCCGCCAAGGAGACCCUCGAGGGCAUCAACCCCGACACAGUCAUCGAGCCGCACGCCUACAACAUUACCUCGACAGAGCACUGGCAACGCUUCUCGGAAGCGCUCACGAAGGGCGGCGUCAGCCCCAACUCACCGAUCGACCUCCUGCUGUGUUGCGUCGACAACUUCCAGGCACGCCUCACUGUGAAUCUCGCGUGCCUGACGUACGAGGUGCCGUGGAUGGAGAGUGGCGUCGCCGAGAACGCCGUCAGCGGACACAUUCAGCUGCUGCUUCCCGGCGUCACCCCCUGCUAUGAGUGCUGUCCACCGCUCGUGGUCGCUACCGGCUUGCCAGAGGCGAAGCGGGAGGGCGUCUGCGCGGCCUCGCUGCCGACCACUAUGGGCAUCGUUGCUGGCUUCCUGGCGCAGAACACGCUCAAGUACCUCCUCCAAUUCGGCGAUGUCUCCGAGUAUGUCGGCUACGACGCCAUGCGCGACCACUUCCCCCGUGUCGAGCUGAAGGCAAACCCGGAGUGCCGCAACGCGCUGUGCGGGGAGCGGCAGGCCGCCUACGCGGUUAAGGUUCGGAAAAUGGGUGAGGCGGCGCACCCGCUCUAUACCGCGCGCAAGGCGCGCGCAGACCGUGCGGAGAAGGAGCGGCAGGCAGCGCAGGCGCGGGCGAAGGCGUGCGCGGCCGAGUGGGGCAUCACGGUGGAAGCCGAAGGCAAGGACUCCCUCACUGUCCACAGUGGGGUGGCGAAUAUCGCCGCUGCGCUACUGGGCAGCAACGGGGAGGGCGAGAGCGGGCUGGAGUACGCGUACGCUGGCACUGCAGCAGACAACGCCGCGGUCGAAGAUGAGGACAAGUACGUCAAGAUGGCCGGUGCGUCUGUUGAGGAACUCAUGGCACGCAUGAAGGCCAUCCAGUAGGACUUCAUGGGGAUAGUGAAAGGUGCCAAAAGCCAAGGCGUGGUGUGUGUGUGUGAGUGUGAGAGGGAGAGGUGCACGCGCAAGGGCUCUGUAAGCAUCCUAUGUCCGUGCGUGGGUGUCCGUGAACAGCUGUUCUCUACCCUCCCCCUCCCCCUCAUUCGUCUACUGGAUCGGCUCCGCGUGGGUGCAGUGCGUGCAUGUACGUAGGUAUAUAUACCUAUAUAUAUUCAUAUAUAUAUAUAUAUAUAUAUGCGUAUACAGUGUAUACAUAUAUAUAUAUAUACACACAUAUGUAUAUGGGUGUGUGUGUGUGUACCUACUACACACACAUAUAUAUAUACGCCCAUACAUAUACAUUCAUAUGUACGUAUAAGUGUAUAUGUGUACAUGUAUGCGUGUAUAGGUCUUUUGUGUGUGUGCUGAUUCUUCCUC
rnacentral:misc_RNA from 1 species